rnacentral:lncRNA from 1 species
UAGCUGCUUUCUCCUGCUUUCAACACAUUUGAAUAAAAUUUUUUGAUCUAUAAAUUUAUCCCAAAGAAGCUUAUGAUUUAUCUUUCUCUCUUUCAACUUCUUCUUCAGGUGCUCCACCUCCAAUCUGAUCUCCUGGACUCUCGAGAGCAACUCUGAGGAGGUUUGAACUCCCUUGGAAGUGGAGCGCCCAUCUCCUUGAGGAGCUCUCUCCUCACGGCUCAUCCCUUUGGAGAUUCUGACCCUCUUGGAUGGAGCACCACAGGGGCUCCUUUGAGAGUGAGUUUCAAGACAAAGAGAACCUCUUCUUGCUUCAAGUGUCUUCCUCAGGUGCUCUAGGCCAUCACGGGUCUAGCGAUAGUCUCUCUCAGUCUUAGACCUCUAUCUUUUAAGAGUUUUAAUCCUCCCUUCGAGGUCUUCAACCUUCUUGGUGGUCUUAGAUUUCUAUUGUUCGAGGGCCUCAAUCUAUCUUUUAGCCUACCGUAGUUCUUCAUCCCGAUGGAGAAUCGACUCCUGGAUCUCUUGAAGAAUCUCCUCUAUAAAGUUGAGCUCCUUAGCCAGCUCAGUAUUAUCCCUCUCUAGAUGCUCUAACCAAUACUUCAGCAAG